UCCUGGUUAACCCAGGCAGUCUCACUAGAGUUCCCACCAUAACGUGUUGGCAACUAAUGAUAAGGGUUGCGCUCGUUGCUGGACUUAACCAAACACCUCACGGCACGAGCUGACGACAGCCAUGCAGCACCUGUGCAGCGGCUCCGAAGAGAGAUGGUGUUUCCACCACUGUCCACUGCAUGUCAAGUCUGGGUAAGGUUCUUCGCGUUGCAUCGAAUUAAACCACAUGCUCCACUGCUUGUGCGGGUCCCCGUCAAUUCUUUUGAGUUUCACCCUUGCGAGCGUACUCCCCAGGCGGUAUACUUAUCGCGUUAGCUACGGCACAACCAGGGUUGAGUCCGGUUACACCAAGUAUACAUCGUUUACAGCAAGGACUAC
rnacentral:misc_RNA from 1 species